rnacentral:rRNA from 1 species
GUUGGCGGCAUGGAUUAGGCAUGCAAGUCGCACGAAUCCCAGCAAUGGGGGAAGUGGCGUAAGGGGCAGUAAGGCAUGGGUCACCUACCCGGGGGUUGGGCAUAGCCUGUCGAGAGACAGGGUAAUUCCCGAUGAUGUCGUAAGACCAAAGCUCCGGUGCCCUCGGAGGGGCCCAUGUGGUAUUAGCUAGUUGGUGGGGUAACGGCCCACCAAGGCGAAGAUGCCUAGCGGGUGUGAGAGCACGACCCGCGCCACUGGCACUGAGACACUGGCCAGACACCUACGGGUGGCUGCAGUCGAGAAUCUUCGGCAAUGGGCGCAAGCCUGACCGAGCGAUGCCGCGUGGGCGAUGAAGGCCUUCGGGUUGUAAAGCCCUGUCGAGGGGGAGAAAAGGGCAACCUUGAUCUAUCCCUGGAGGAAGGACGGGCUAAGUUCGUGCCAGCAGCCGCGGUAAGACGAACCGUCCGAACGUUAUUCGGAAUCACUGGGCUUAAAGGGCGCGUAGGCGGGCCGCCAAGUCCGGGGUGAAAUCCUCCAGCUUAACUGGAGAACGGCCCCGGAUACUGGAGGUCUCGAGGGGGAUAGGGGCACACGGAACUUAUGGUGGAGCGGUGAAAUGCGUUGAUAUCAUAAGGAACUCCGGUGGCGAANGCGGUGUGCUGGAUCCCUUCUGACGCUGAGGCGCGAAAGCCAGGGGAGCAAACGGGAUUAGAUACCCCGGUAGUCCUGGCCCUAAACGUUGAGAACUAGGUAGUAGACUUGACAUGGGUUUACUGCCGAAGCAAAAGUGUUAAGUUCUCCGCCUGGGGAGUAUGGUCGCAAGGCUGAAACUCAAA